rnacentral:lncRNA from 1 species
UAGAGUUCUGAUGGGGGAGUCCCAAGUCAAGCGGAGGUGGCAGGAGUACUUUCGAGACCUGCUUAACGAGGAGGGGGAUCGAGACAUAGAGCUAGGGGAGCUGGGGCAUUCAGAGUGUCAUAGAGACCUCGGGUACUGCAGGCGCAUUAAGGUGCAGGAGGUCAUGAAGGCUUUGCGUAGGAUGAGUAGGGAUCGAGGGGAGGGGAUCGAGACACAGAGUUAGGGGAGUUGGGGCAUUCAGAGUGUCAUAUAGACCUCGCGCACUGCAGGAGCAUUAAGGUGGAGGAGGUCAUGAGGGCUUUGCGAAGGAUGAGUAGCGGUCGAGCGACUGGGCCAGACAAAAUUCCGGUGGAGUUCUGGAAAUGCAUGGGUAGGUCAGGAGUGGAGUGGUUGUCCAGGUUGUUCAAUAUGGUCUUUAGGACUAAGAGGAUACCGGAGGAGUGGAGAUGGAGUACAGUGGUGUANNNNNNNNNNNNNNNNNNNNNNNNNNNNNNNNNNNNNNNNNNNNNNNNNNNNNNNNNNNNNNNNNNNNNNNNNNNNNNNNNNNNNNNNNNNNNNNCGGUGGAGUUCUGGAAAUGCAUGGGUAGGUCAGGAGUGGAGUGGUUGUCCAGGUUGUUCAAUGUGAUCUUUAGGACUAAGAGGAUGCCGGAGGAAUGGAGAUGGAGUACAGUGGUGCUAUUGUACAAAAACAAAGGGAAUAUCCAGUGUUGCAACAACUAUAGGGGUAUCAUAUUAAUAAGUCACACCAUGAAAGUCUGGGAGAGGGUGGUCGAGGCGAGGGUGAGGGAGAUGUCAUCUAUAUCCGUGCACCAAUUUGGUUUGAUGUCGGGCCGCUCCAUUACAGAAGCUAUCCACCUUGUCAGGAGAUUGGUGGAACAAUUCAUGGAUACAAAGAGGGACCUGCAUUUGGUGUUUAUUGACUUGGAGAAGGGGUACGACAAGGUCCCAAGGGAGGUGUUAUGGACGUACCUGGAGGCGAAGAGCGUGCUGGAACCUACAUCAGAGUGAUCAAGGACAUGUACGAUGGGGCUAAGACUAGGGUUAGGACGGUGGGUGGCGACUCAGACCAUAUUUUGGUGGUUAUGGGGCUCCACCAAGGAUCUGCACUUAGCCCUCUCUUAUUCUCCUAUCAGAAUGAUCAAGGACAUGUAUGAUGGAGCUAAGACUAGGGUUAGGAUGGUGGGUGGCGACUCAAACCAUUUUCCGGUGAUUAUGGGGCUACAUCAAGGAUCUGCACUAAGCCCUCUCUUAUUUGCCUUGGUGAUGGAUGCUCUAACUCGCCAUAUUUAAGGGGAUGUGCCUUGAUGUAUACUAUUUGUUGAUGACAUAGUCUUGAUAGACGAGACGAGGGCUGGUGUUAACGAGAGGUUGGAGGUCUGGAGACAGACUCUCGAGUCUAUGGGUUUCAGACUAAGCAGAUCUAAGACAGAAUAUUUGGAUUGCAAGUUUAGCGCCGAGUCGAGCAAAUCAGGCUGGGACGUGAAGCUUGGAUCUCAGGUCAUAGCCAAGAGUGGCAGUUUCAGAUAUUUUGGGUCGGUGAUUCAAGGGUAGGAGCGGAGUGGUUGAAGUGGAGGCUUGCAUCUGGAGUCUUGUGCGACAAGAAAGUCCCACAGAAACUCAAGGGAAGUUUUAUAGAGCGGUGGUUAGACCUGCCAUGUUGUAUGGGGCGGAGUGCUGGCCUGNNNNNNNNNNNNNNNNNNNNNNNNNNNNNNNNNNNNNNNNNNNNNNNNNNNNNNNNNNNNNNNNNNNNNNNNGGUGGUUAGACCUGCCAUGUUGUAUGGGGCAGAGUGCUGGCCUGUGAAGAACUCUCAUGUUCAGAGAAUGAAAGUUGCAGAGAUGAGGAUGCUCAGGUGGAUGUACGGGUUCACCAAGUUAGAUAAGAUUAAGAAUGAAGUAAUUCGGGAGAAGGUGGAGGUGGCCCCAGUGGAUGAGAAGAUGCAAGAAGCGAGACUCAGGUGGUUUGGGCAUGUACGGAGGAGAAGCCCUGAUACUCCGGUGAGGAGUUGUUAGCGAAUGGCGGUGAUUGGCACGAGUCGAGGCAGAGGGAGGCCUAAGAGGUAUUGGGGUGAGGUGAUUAGGCAGGAUAUGGCUAGAAUGAGGAUUUCCGAGGACAUGGCCCUUGAUAGGGAAGUCUGGAGGUCUAGUAUUAGGGUCGUAGGAUAUGAGCUUCUAGUAAUUUUAGUACUUCUGCUCGAGGCUGGAUGGGGUUUGGUAGGGCUCUCUAUAAUUGUGUUAGGUAUUGUAUUGUGCCUCUUAUGGUAGUGACUGAUUGGUUUUAUUGCAUGUCAUUCUUAUUCUUGGUUUUAUGUUUAGAUAAUUAAUAAUGUGAUUUAUACUGGAUUUACUAAUGCUGUUUGGUUUUGUUUGAUUUUCUCUCCCUUUCUCUGAGCCGAGAGUCGGUCGGAAAUAGCCUCUCUACCCUUUCGGGUAGGGGUAAGGUCUGUGUAUAUAUUAUCCUCCUCAAAUCCCACUUUAUGAGAAUAUAUUGGAUUGUUGUUGUUAUUGUUCACCAUUAAAAUCAACUAAAGACGGUUAAUUUGGACAUAAAAAGUAGUAUGCGAUAUCUAGAGAAUGUUCUCAAUUCAUCGGUCCUAAUAAAUGUGACCUUAUUAAAUUUAUCGGUCAAUUUUUUACAUCUUUUUUAUGAAAUCAUUAUUUUUCAUUUACUUUCCUAAUUAGUCUAACGUCUGAUCCAUCUUAAAAACUUCGCAUCUUUCAUUUAAUGGAAAAACUUUUUCCUUCUUCAACUGUCGAGCUAAUAAUAAUACUGUAAUACUUUACAUUAUAAUCUCAAUAUUGAUUCGACAUCUUACCUUCUCUUUCUUUUUUUGGUUUUACACACGGUAUUCAAUAUUUAAAUUCAGAUUCGCACCGAAAAAUCCUACAUUGUGAAAAAGUACUCCCAAACAAAGAUAACUUUAUACCUAACAACUCGAACCCGAUACCUCUAAUUAAGGAUGAAAGAAUACUUAGUACUCUACCACAACCCGAGACCUCUAAUUAAGGAUUAAAAAUGGUGUUUAUACGUAUAUUCCAAGGAAGGAACAUAUCAUGCAACCUGGGAAAAGGAAAAUGUCGCCCAACAUCCCACUCUGUUGUCAAAAUUAGUUUUAAAAUUCAUUGAUGUGUUUCUGACUCUUAACUGUAUUUUUGCUCUAAAUAAACCGGGCUCCAUUAAGACAAAAACUAGGACAUUUCCUGCAAAAUGCAAAUACUCGCCCUACAAAAUUCUACUCAACUACAGAAGAUCAUCCAAAAGAAGUUUUAAGGUUUUCCAUCAAUAAACAUUAAGUUUUUUAGUUGUACUAUCCUGGUUAAUGUCAAGAGAAACCACCAUGAAAGGUAACCAAUCCAUUUUUUGUUUCAAAGUAUAACGAAAGAAGAAUAGAAAGCACGGAUGUUGAUGGAGAAAGAACACUAGCAAAACAUGAGGUGCUCUUCAAGUUUUCGUUUCACCUUCUCUUGGUUUAUGCGCAGAAACGACCCACCAUAACCUGCAAGGACACGAAAUUAGACAUCAUUCAUGACUUCAUGAUAAUAAUGCUUACAUAAAAAGCUUAGACACACUCGAGUAAAUGUUUGGUGUGUAAGGCUCCCCGUAAAGGAGAGGUGUGUGAUAGGGAUUUGGCUACAAGGCCCGGGGGAUGUAAAACAAUGCAUUGAGCCUACAUAAAACUCAUCCACAACAAGAACAAGAGGAAAAAGAAUAAGUGAAACUACUGGGAUGGACCUUUUAAUCUACAUUAACCUGGAGAAGCUUAGAACCAAAAAAGGAGAAACAAAAUACAAGAUUCAUGUCCAAGAUAAUAACUAUCCUAUUUAAACUUGCAUGAUAUAAGUGAGUCCUCCAUAAAUGCUUCAUAAUAGUAAUUAUUUAAGUGAAAUAGAAUCUGACACUUCAAAUUCAUAGUUGGCACUUGGCACCAACAGAUAUUCUGAAAAAGGAAGUGGUAAUUUUGGCAUCAUAGAAGUAGUAAGAACCUGGACCAGGUUUGCUGCAACCAGAUGACCAUUAACUCGACCACCAACAACAACACCAGAUGAACCAGCACAGACUAUAGUCAGUGGUCCUUCUUGCUGUACUUGACCAUCUUCAGAUAUAAUAUAUUUUCCCUGAAGGUUUAUUAUUGAAAAUGAACCCUGCAGGAUGACAUGUAUAAGAUAAGUAUCUUAAGAGUUCAAGAUAGGUAAAUUCCAUUAUUCCAAUUUACAGAGUAAGAAUGGUUAACCACUAUGAAAUUUGAUAAGCAGAAUGAGUAACAUAACAGUGCCUUAUAAUUGAUAUAUAUCGUUUUAUACUAUUGGCUUUUUUCCUUCUCAAAAACAGUGCCUUCAGAAAAGAAUUCCAAGAGGUAUGGAAGGGCACUCCUAAUUUUAAAUAGUUUAUUUCAGAAACUUCAUAAUUACAGUCAAGAUCCAUAUUAUUACUAACCUUCCAUUUAAGUGAUGCAGUUUGCACGAGUUGUGGAGUCUAACAUCUAUAUUUUACUCAAAUAAUAGAAGAUAAUUAAAAAGGUUUGUCUUUAGGAAAGUAAGGAAACAUCACAUAAGAAAUAUCAAUAUAACUAAAAGGUUAAUUUCAUAGGGAAACGUGACAUCAUAUUUAAUUGAGUUGAAAAAUGAAGUGUCAAGCAUAAAACUCGUGAAAGUCGAGCAAAAUAAUAUCAUUUAUAUGUCAAAGAUUUUGAGGUUCAGGUUGGAGUCUAAGCAACCCAUAAACAGUUAUUUCACGUAUUUGUCCCAGAAGAAACAGGUCUCUACAUGACAAAGCGUGUUUAAACCUUUAAUGGGGCAUUUUACACAAUUCAACACUUCCAAAUUGAAAGUCUGUUACAAAAAUUAGGAAGAAGGACUACUAUUUCGUAAAUAAGCGCUGUACUUAACAAACUUUCCAAAACGGACUUGGUGUAUGCCCUUUCUAAUAUAAAAGUUAAUAGAUUUCAAAACAACACUUUACAGAUUAGUCCCGCAGAGGGGGGUCUAUGGAGGGUAAUAUGUACACAGGCCUUACCCCUACCCGAAAGGGCAGAGAGGCUGUUUCCAAUUAAUUACCACAACAACUGUUUAGAUUAUCUGUGCUAAAUUAAGAUGCUGAAUCUUUUAUGUAGUUACUAAAACGUUUACGUUAUACUCUCAAUAAAACAACUCAAUGAUCUUGGAAUAGUGCUAUUUAGUUUAGCCAAAUUGAUUCUUCAUGAAGAAACAUGACAAUCCGACACGCCAGAGACAGUAUUUACUACUACAAAUAUUUUUAUCCAUAUUGAACAUCUUUUUUUUUUAGUUAUCACAAUACUUUAGUAUAUCUAAUUUAUGAAACUUAAUAGUUAAUAAUUCCUUAGCUACGUUAUCUUAACUAGUUUGUGACAUAUUAAAUUUAUUUUAUUAACCUAUCAAAUGCUAAUUAUUGUGGGACUAUACUGGGUAGUUGUUGUUGUUGUUGUAUCCAAUGCUAAUUAUUGCGGUAGUAAUGUGUUUAAACCCUUUUGACCAACCAUGCAUACUCGUCGACUCUAAUGAAUGCAAAUUAUAGUAUCUAUAAUGAGAGUGUCAUAACAUUGUAGUUUAAGUAUCUUAUGAAACUGAGUCGUUAAGACUUCCUUAGCUACGGGAUCCUAACUAGUUUAAAGUAUAUUGAGUUUAUCUUAUUAGCUUAACGAAUGCUAAUUAUUGUGGUGUCUAAUAUGUUCUGUAUCUUUAGACCAACCGUGCACAAUCGUCGAGUGCAAUGAAUGGUUCCCACUUAUCUCACUGAAGAAAAAGAAAUUCCCUUUUUGAGAUUACCAUCAACAACGUUUAUUCCAAUUUAACUACAAGAGGAUCAAAGAUCAGAAACGUCAACACGCUUCAAAUCUUUGUUUCGACUUCCUUCCUGGUCCCACCCGACAAAGAAAAAGACAAGGAACAGAAUAGGCACCAUCUCAGUCUCCAAACCAACUCGAGAGCAUACAUGUACACAUGUAACUCGUUGUACGGGAAUGGCUCCAUUGACACGCUUCUGUUCACUAUUCUUUCUCUGCCUUGUAUUAAAGAAACACUAAUCCAUUUUAACGCUAGUGGAGCAAACUCACCACUUUAGACCCCAGAUUGGUGUAUCCAUUUCGUGACUUGCCCAUAAGUGUUCAAACACCAUACAGCUCGACUCACAUUUGAGCUCAGCUAACAUAAAUAAAUGAAGCCUGGCGGGCUUGUGUUUAGCUUAGCCUAUGUACACAUGUAACUCAUUGAACGGGAAUGGCUCCAUUGACACGCUUCUGUUCGUUAUUCUUUCUCUGCCUUGUAUUAAAGAAACAAUAAUCCAUUUUAACGUUAGUGGAGCAAACCCACCACUUUAGACCCCAGAUUGGUGUAUACAUUUCGUGACUUGCCCAUAAGUCAAAAGUUCAAACACCAUACAGCUCGACCCGCAUUUGAGCUCAGCUAACAUAAAUAGAAGAAGCCUGGCGGGCUUGAGUUUAGCUUAACUUUCUUAAGCUGUAUUAAAUCUAGAUUUGCCUUCUAAAUCCCAAGGAAAUCAUUUGUAAGUUAAAUGAUUAUUUCGAAGUCGCACCAUAUUAGGCUCUAGCAUUUAGAACACAAAGCGUAGCUUCUAAACCUAAUGAGAUUCCUCUAACCAGUAAGAAUUCUUACACACAUGACAUUAGAAAUCUCCUUUGCAUAUCUAGAGAACACAUUAUGCGCACUACCUAUCAAAGGCGAAAAACAGAAAUAACGCAAAUAAGAUAAUCAGGUACCUUAUCUGAAGCUGAUAAAUUUUCUGCAUCCAUUAUCGGGUCCAAAACUGAACCAGUAGCUGACAAGAUCAUGCCCGUCUGCGUGCGACCAUGGGAACUAACAGAAUUGUUGGUCCUGUUCCGAAAAUAAGACAGAACUUUUUGUCCAACAUCCUGAAAGGUAAACGGAGUUCUUUGAGUGCACUUCUAUUACCCACUAUAUACGGCUUGCCUACUUUUGUAAAAAACCUCAUUGCUUAGUCAAAAGAAAAUGGAGAACAUGAAAGAAGUACAUUUCCAAUUCAUUAUCAAACAAAGCUGAAGCAGUAAUAAACUAAUGAACAUGACAACCAUUGGGAAGAUUAACAGAAGGUCCGCAAUCUAACUGGUCUUCACUGAUUGCUACUACCCAUAGAGAAGUUGUAAAACAAGACAUAAAACAUCAAACCACAUUAGUCUUUUACUACCAUUCAACAGGAUGGCUAAAUUUAGUAUGUCUAACAAAUGGAAGGAGGAGAAAAACAUCAUGAUGACUGCCCCGAGCUACGUAGCAUUUCACAUUCCUAUUUCUUUAAAGUUCAUAUUCUUGUCUAUAUAUUUCGUUUACAGCCAUCUGGAAGGCCACUGCAAUUAUCCUUUAGGCCUCUAGGCUUAUAAAAUAAGGUAGAAAACCCACAUCCUUUGUUAUUACUAUAGAAUAUAUCAGCCACAUCUUUGAUGCAAAAUUUAGAAAUUAAAGCUUAUGUAACAAAUUUAUUACCCUAACGACUUUCACUCUUAUUUGUCAGGGAACAAAAGUGCAUGUCGGGUUUUCUGCAAGCAUAUUUAAAACCCUAGAGAUAUGCUUCACGAAAAGCAGGUUUUGUUCCAUAUGACCUGAUUUUCUCAAUGAUAUCAAGAUAUAUGUAUCUGACCUCAACUUGUAUAGGAUUGAGGCAUAUUUGAGUGAUUCAAUAUACACAACUACCUACAAUAACCUACAGCAACAGUAUUACACAUAGGUAACGUAUCCAAUUUUCUUUUUUUCCAGAUCAUAAUGAUCCACGUAUUAGAUAACACUAAGUCAAUGUGGGCAAAGUUAUAUGGUACCUAUAUUGGUGGAAGGAAGCAAGUACGCAGUGGAAAUAGUUGAGGGCACAUACAUUGGCUCGGAUGCCACUGUUAUUUUAGAAAAAUAUUGAUUUCAGAGAUUGCAAGUACUUUAACCUGCUUGAAAAUGUUGUCGGAAACACAAAGAGCCAUAUGAAAAGGGCAUAUGCAGUUUAAGCCCAAGUUUCUAGGAUAGACCACGGAGUGAUAUUUAGCUGAAAGGUUUGAUCAACAGUCUGAGAUUCGAGAAAACUUCCAAAACUUUAACUGUGCUAUGAACAGUGUUUAGUGGUUUGGUCAGGAAAUGAAGGUUUUAUAAACAGAAUGAGAACUUUGUGGAAGGUUCAGCUCUAUGCUUUUAAGUUUUGGCGGUGACAAGAAACCAUCAGCAGCAAAGAAUGAUAUGAGCGAAAAAAAUAAAAAGUAACCUUCUUAGAAGAUAGUGAGCAUAAAACUUAUCCAUUUCAAAGAAUGAGCAUAAAACUUAUGGCCUUAGUCUCUAUCCAUUGUCCAUUUACAGUUAUUAAAAUUCAGCUCCUUGGUUCAAUUUACCAUGCUAAAAUUCAAAGUCUCCAUCCACAAAGCAAUGCCAUAUUGUCAUUAUGAAGAUGAUGAAGCAACCAAAUCAAGGAGACAGAAGCACACUUGGUGGAAUCGGAAACACAUUACAGGAAAAGGAGAACCAGAUAAUUACGGAUUGCACCAGAACAAAAGCAUACUAGAUGACAAGGUAAGAGAUAUACUUUUCUUUCACAAAUAGACAAUGCAAGAAAUACACCAAUGUUAGAGAAGAAUGCAUUACAUGAAAAGGACAACCAGCUAAUUGCGGAUUUCACCAGAACAAAAGCAUACUAUAUGGCAAUGUAAGAGAUAUAUUUUUCUUUCACAAAUAGACAAGGCAAGAAAUACACCAAUGUUAGAGAAGAAAGUAGCACACAGAACAAGAAAGUUUUUCAUGUCCAAAAGAAUAUGAACACUGGAGAAGUACAAAAAUGAGACUUCUCCUAGAUUGAUAAUCAAGGAAUCCGCAAGUACCCCUUCAUGCUUUGGUUCUGCAAGAAUAAUGUAAUAAGAGUGUUUAGUUUCAGAAUUUAUAUAUGGAGUAUUACAUGAAUGUUCUGUUACAGGCACAGCAUAUAUAUUCAACUGACAGAAGCAUUGAAUAUGACAUACGUGUCGAGGAGCAUCAAUGUAAAAUAUGCAAAUAGUUCUAGAAAAGCAUAUAUCUAUAGAACCAUAUGAUCUGGGAAGCACAAAAGCAUUAGUCCCCACCAAACUUAACAGCAUUAGAUCGCAAAGCAAAUGGGGAUUAUAAGUUAGAGAGCUUUGAGACACAUAACACGCAGUCCUCUUUAUUCUUUCUGCGCAGACGCAUUCAACCUGACCUCAUGAAAAAUACUUUGAGCAAUAGAAAUUGUAAAAGAGCAUAGCUUGUGCAAUUAAUAACGAUAGAAUUUGUACAUUCAACUUGCUUUCCAACUUUCUUUUCUUCUUUUUUUUUCUUUUUUUUUUUCACCAGGGGGGGUGGUGUCCAGAUUUUCUUCCUUUUCCCUUUUUGACUGAUAAAAGGGAUGGAAGAAAGAUACAAAACGCCACUCCUUCUCCUUUUGAGUGGGAGAGGGUGAAAAAGAAAGAAAGACACCAUUUUCCAUAAUCCUUUUCUUUCCUUAGUAGAGAUUCUGCAAAAUCUAGAGUUUUUGAAGACACGGGACAUAUGAACAAAACAAAAAAAAUCAGCAAUUGUACAACCAAACAAAAAUUGGAUAGCCAGUACCAUCAGUGUGAGCUUUCAUCUUUCUGGGUCGUCGAGGUCUAGCCGAACUACGAGAAAGUGAAGGUGUCUCGAGGGCAAGCACACAUGUUUGGUCCAUCCCCUUCCUAAUAGAAUCCUUGCCCGUGUUCUCUCCCAUUUUAGUGUUUUUUUUUCACCACUCAAGAGUUGAAACUGUUGUUCUACGUUGAAUCUUCUCUUUCGAGAUGACACAACCAAGGUGAAAAUAUUUGUAGGCUUUAGGGGUUUUCUAACCAAGCCAGUCACUUGAUUAUCAAUAAAGCAAUCCAGUGACUAGAUUACAGACUGAAAAAGUAAUAAAUGCAGCCUAUUUGUUUUCCAUCUAUUGGUUCUCCCAAGUAAGCACGGAAUUGAAAUAAGCCCCAGAUAGGAAAGUCCUUGACUAUUUUCUUUUUACAGAUAUAAUCCUACUUAUAGGCAUUAAAAAAGCGCAAGCCAAACUUUAGUGUUCAAUUGAUCAGGCUUGAUCAAUAUAGCGGUACCCAAAGCAAGGUAGACUUCCUUCACCUUCUAUCCCCAAACCACUACCAAAUCAAAAUAAAACAAGAAAGACGCAUCUAAUCAAGGACUAUAGUGACAUCUUGAGAAGGUUUAUACCUACAUUGUUGACACAUUAAGGGCGCCUCAAAAGGCAGGCAUUCAUCAAGUGCCAACAAUACUAAUACACGAGAUAUAGGCUACAAUGAGAACAGAACUAAAUUCCCAGAUAGAGUCAAAUUUUGAACAAGCUACAGCUAUGCAGUUAACACGUGCUGAAGCAAUGCAAGAGAUUACCAAAAUCCAAAAGUAGUAAUGUAAUCAAGUCUACAAUUACUUUAACAAGAACACCUAUCAAAAUAUAUAAAUAAAUAACCAUACUAGUUUAAACAUGAGUGGGAACCAUUUAAAUACCUUUCCAUAUUAUCCCUCAUUCUAGAAAUUCACCUUGAUAUUCAUAAGCAUCUCAAUAAACUGAACUAGAACCCCAAAUUACCCUUUCUUCAUUCUGCCAAAAAAAAGAGAGGGAAAAAAAAAAGAGGACAUUAAAAACACUUUUUAAUUACCUGAACAACCACUAAUUUCUGUAAAACAUUCCAAUCGAAUGUUCUACACAUAAUGUGAAUAAGUGAAACACUGACGAAAGUUUUAUGCUUUGUCAAUAAAAGGAAGUUCUUGUUUAAUCCUCCAAUCAAAAUAGAAAUCAGAGGGCGAGUGAGAUCCAUCGACCCUGAAGGAAGCAAGUGGCAUGUCCGUAAUUGACGAAAUUACCCUCAGUUUCAGGAACAUUUCAAGGGUAUUAUGGUAAUAGAAACAUUACCCUGGUAUAAUAACGGAGCCCCGUUACAAACAGCGUAGUAAUCCGUUCCGGUCAAUCGAAGAAAGUGAAGGAGGAGAAAUGGCGUCGAAUGCAGCGGCACCCUUUUGGAGAGCGGCGGGGAUGACUUACAUAACAUACUCGAAUCUGUGUGCCAACCUGGUCAGGAACUGCCUCAAGGAACCCUACAAGACCGAAGCCCUGAUUCGGGAAAAGGUCCACUACUCCAUCUCCAAAUGGGUCGAUGGCAAGCCUCUAAGGAACCCUACAAGACCGAAGCCCUGACUCGGGAAAAGGUCCACUACUCCAUCUCUAAAUGGGUCGAUGGCAAGCCUCAGAAACCCAGUAAGUAAUCCGCUUCCUCUCUUUUUUGUUUUUGUGAUAUAAAGUUAAGAUAUUUUGGUCUCCUGAAUAUUGAUUUGAUUGCUUUCACGCUUUUCGUUUCAUUUUCGUUUCAAAUUCGCUUAUUAGGGAUGGACGUGUUUUUAGUUUAGGGUCUUCUAUAUGAAUUCCGGAAAAUUGGUUAUUUUGAGGUAUCAUAAGUGGCUGUUUGUUUGGAGGUUUCAUUUUCUCUGGUUUAGUCUUCUGGGAAAAUGAAAAUUAAAGGACAUUCGGUUUUCUCAUUCAUUAUUUCAGUUCUUAAAAUCAGUUUAAGACUGGUUUCUAGAGACCAAAUCUUAUAGUUAGACUGAGGGCACUAAUUUAUGUGGUAAUAGAUUUUUCCGCCACUAACUUAUACAGGAGGGAGGUGGAUUUUGACAAGGACUUUUAGUGUUGUUUUAGUUUACAUUGAGCUCUAUUAAUCAGUGAUCUCGGAGCCAACUGAUUUAGUUUUUGGGAUUUUGGUUCUUCCCUCUUGGUCGUUUAGCUUAUGCUGGAUUUGAGUAUUAUUUGUCCUUAACAUAUGUCCCUUCUUGCCAUUGUUCUAAUUUAACUAUUCGGUAUUUGGUUUCUCCUCUUUGUCAAUUUGUAAAUAGCAAUCACAUAUCUUACCAAUCCAAUUGGUUUUUUUUCUAAAUGGUGUUAAAUACUUCAUUUUCUUAUCCAGACAAGCCAAUCAUAAAUUAUUCUAAUUAACUUGGUACCCCUCAAGGGGCAGGAGCUGUAAAUUUUGUUUGGGUUUNNNNNNNNNNNNNNNNNNNNNNNNNNNNNNNNNNNNNNNNNNNNNNNNNNNNNNNNNNNNNNNNNNNGUAUAUGUCCUCAAGACAUGAUCUUUUCUUGCCACUGUCAUCUAAUUUAGUUAUUGUGUUUUUGGUUUCUUAGCUCUUUGUUGUUUAGCACUUUAGCUUAUAAUGGAUUUGGCUAUUAUAUCCUCAAGGCAUGAUCCCUUCCUGCUGUUCUCUACCUAGCAGCGCAAACUAAUUCCAGUGCAAUGACACAUCUUACCACCAUCUGCUCUAGUUAUAGCUGAUCUUUCAACUAGAACAAUAGUAUCAUUCUGUCUCCAACAUCUUAUCAAUCAUCAGAACAUGUAUCAUGUUAGUCAAGGUCUUAGAUUUCUAGGAAUGUGCUGGAUUUGGUUUCUCUUAUAGCAUUAAAAUUUUCUGUAUUUAACUCUUUUUGGCUGAUAGAGGAUUAACCAAGUGUUCAAACAUAACCUUGUCUGUCCUUAUGCACUCCAGUUCUUGUCUUGGCUCAUCAUGAAAAAUAUAGUGUGUUUAGUUGUCCAUGUUAAUAUUUUACCUUGAAAAACAAUUACUUUUAGUUAUCUUCCAGAUUUUGGUGGAGUAUAAAGUCAAGGUUAUGAUAAGGGGACGGGCCGUAGAGAUGGUGCUUUGGUGAUAUUUUGGGGUAUUGAAAGUUCGAUAAUAAUGUUUAUCACGUUUACCACGGACCCAGUUCAAUGUCUUUUUUGUUUUUACAACUGAGAUGUACAUCUUGAGUGAAACAGAACUGGAUAGAGAUGGAAGUGGAGGAUCAGAAUGGCGAGACUCUAUCAAUUGAUAUUACCGGGUGACUGUAAUCUACAGAUAUGUGACCGACAUCCAUCUAUGCGCUCUUUAUAUUUGGCUUCUACAUGCUGGAUCAAUAAAUGGUUGAAUUUAUGAAAAUAUAGGAAUUCAGCAUGAUGUGUGACUUGCUUCAGAAAAAUUAAAAAGAGUAGUCUUAUUAGCAUGGCUGUUCACAUGUUGGUGUGGUACCUUGGAUAUAUAAAAUAAGCAAGCCACCACUUAAAGAUUGAUACAAUAAGGUAGAAGACAAAAGUGGUGCACUUGUGUCUUAUGUUCAAUUUGCUACUUAAUUAGUGUAUUUACAUGCACGAUUAAGUUCAUACUUCUACAUGAUUGUUGUUUGUUCCUUUCGGCGUUUCGAAUAUUUUUUAUUUUGGUGGGUUGAGGGGUGUGGAGGAUGGGGUUGACUAUUCCGUGCAUCCAUUAUUUGCUUUACUUGUCUUAUUGGUUAGAGAAAUACUAGUAGUUUGCUCACUGACCAACGUUUUUGCCUGUCUUCUUCACAGCCAUCCGCUCAGACACUCCGGAAGAUUGAAAAUAUGGUUGAAUUUCAGGCAUUGUUUCUUCUUUUGAGUGAAUUUUGUACUGCCUUGGCACUAUACAGAGUGUUCAUCUGCUGGAGGUCGAAUUUGUGACAUUUUAUCUUUCAAUAAUAUAGCCAAAUAGACUUUGAUCUUUUCAGUUGGAUGGAAAUGAGAUAAUCUUUCUCGUGUUUAUGUAGAAUCUUUUAUUUUGGAUUUUGGAAUUCAAGUGAAUUGAUGAUCACUAAUUUGCAAUUACGCCUCGCGGUGAAUUUAAUACGAGGAUGCUCUAGCCUGUGUUUGCGUAGGUGAGAAGUUAACAAAAUUUUGCUCGCAGCCUGUCUAAAGAAAUGUGAAAUUCUUAUUUGUGUCAUUUCCGGAAUUUCUAUCUUUAUAAGGAGAGCCAAGUCCUUGGGGCAAUAGCUACCUGAAUGUAGUGCAUCGAAUCAUAUAAACAACAACAACAAUAACAUACCCAGUAUAAUCCCACAAUAAAAUGUGUUGAAAUUAUAUUAGUUUUGAUACUAGAAGCAGCAAUAAUUAGACGUUGCAGAUUAAGUAUAAGAAGAAUGCCAACGAUAUCAUUCCAACUGGAAGACAACUAAUGUUGACCUGUUUUUAAUCAGAUACCAAGCCAUAUCAUUGUCUUUCUUUUAAACUAGUUAAUGAGCAUCUUGACAGUUUCAUCCGUAGCUCCAUGUCGAAUUGGUCCUCAUCCGCUGUUGCCCCAUUAUUUAGCUGACCAUUCCAACAUUUUUUUGGCUAUCUUGGCUUUUAACCAUUCUUUUAUUUUCUGAGAGGGUGGAAGAUGAAGAGUAAAACUUAACUAAGCAACGGGUAAGUGGUUGAGUUGGUGAAUGCUGUUGAACAAAGACCAUGAGUACACGUAAAACAAAAAAAAUUACAGAGAAACCAUUGGUAUUCUUUCGGUUUAUGCCACAUGUACAUCUCUAACUCUAAGCAUCUUCAUACGCAGAUUUAAAAUGAAAUACAAUUUAAAACAUGAAAAUUAAAUGACAGUGUUGCCUAUCAUAAACAGAUUAUACCACGGACAAAAGGUCCUCUUUUUCUUCUUCUGUGUUUUUUUUUUUUUUUUGAAAGGAUAUUUAUAUAUAGGGAAAAGGGUCAAAAUUGUCCUUAACUUAUUGACUCCAGUUUAAAAAUGUUCUCGGUUAACUUAUUUUAAAAAAAAUGCCCCUACCGUUAAAAAUUUGGCAUAUUUGUGCCCCUAAGUCUAACAACUGACUGNNNNNNNNNNNNNNNNNNNNNNNNNNNNNNNNNNNNNNNNNNNNNNNNNNNNNNNNNNNNNNNNNNNNNNNNNNNNNNNNNNNNNNNNNNNNNNNNNNNNNNNNNNNNNNNNNNNNNNNNNNNNNNNUAUUUGUGCCCCUAAGUCUAACAACUGACUGUACUUAUAUUUAAAACGGUAGGAGCAUUUUUUUCAAAAUAGGUUAACGGUAGGGAUAUUUUUAAACUGGAGUCAAUACGUUAGGGGCAUACCAGAGUUUUAACGGUGGGGGCAAUUUUUUUCAAAAUAGAUUAACGGAAAGCAUUUUUAAACUGACGUCAAUACGUUAGGAGCUGACCCUUUUCCAUUAUAUAUAACUAGCAUAAUGGGAUUGUGAACUGUGAGGCAGUCAAAAUUGUUUUUGGCCCCAAGUUUAAGGUGAUCAACUGCUUGAUCAGUUUAAACAACUAGCUCGUAUUGUAAAAAUUUUGUAAAGCUUUCCCUUUCCUUUUAUUAUUCUCCUUACACCAAUGUUAAACUCAAUACAGUUAACUGUUUACAAUUGAAGUUUGAAGAACUCUUUUUUCUGGCUGACAAUUAAUUUUUCCUAUAUUGUCGAACAUAUUUUAUUGGUUUGAACUUAUAAAUUGACGUCAUCAUAUUAAUAGUUAAAUCGUAAAUUUCUGGUUACAUAUAUAAAUAGUGAUUAAUACUUCUUAUCUGAAAUUUGAGGAAAAAGGUUACCAAAUAGACAUAGAUAUAAGUUUAUGUUUGGCUCAAAAGUUAUUAAUAUAAUUCGCAAGCGUAAAACAAUCAAAAUAAUUAAGGGUAAAUCGUAAUCAAAUAUAAUAAGACCUAGAGACGAAAAUAAUAUUGUUCAAGUAGAUGUGAUAAUAUUGGGAGAAUAUAUUUUUAGAGAUAGAGAGAGAAAAAGAGAGAGUUGUCUUAUCCAAUAAUAAUCACCUGCCCAUUAGAGCACCACGGUCUCCUUUAUAUAAUAGGAGACCCUCCUUGAAAUAAUAAAAAUAGUAUAAAAAUAGGUAACAUCCCCUUAGUGGGGACGCCGAAUUUAAAUGGUGUCGUUCCUAUCCUCACGCCUGACUCGGCGUGCAUCCACCGGUCGUACCCACUAAUGCAGAGACGUCGAGGGUUGAAUUCGACCCCAUACAGUUUAUACUCUUGAAUGUUUUGAUACUUAGUGAUUGUUACUAUUAACACUGUCAUUCUACGUUUAUACAAUGAUAUUGACUGGACAUAAGUAGUGUUUUAAAAGGCAUUGACGCUCUCAAGACCCAAAUACAGACUUACCUCACUAUUUUACGCGUAAAAUGUGUGUAAUUAAUUAACCUUUUUGACCUUAAAACCCCGUUAGUUGACAUUUCACACACUAAAAUCAAAAGCCCUCAUAAUUAAUUCACAAAUGAGGAAUUAACGAUUUGCAACUCAAAAUCAGAGUCCUAAUACAGCAUAUUCUCCGUCGAUGACGAGUACUUAUGGAACCUUUCAUUUGAAAACAAAUAAUCACAACGCAUUUCCUCAGUAUAUACACGUUAGGGUAAAGGUAGUGUUCCAUUAUACACAUGUUUAUAUAACAAUAUGCUUAAGUUACGUGUUCGUGAGGUUCCGAAUUUUCUCAGUUGACAAAUAAAUUUUAAAGAGCAAUAAAUUUCAUAUAAAUUUUUUCCUUCGUUAAUAAAGUACAACAUUAUGAAUUAUUUCUGAAUUAUUAACUUAUAGAAAACAUUUCACGUUGGAAUUGUAAAAUAUAAUUGAUAAUGGUAGCUCUCAGGAUAUUUUGUUUUUGUUUUUGUUUUUGUUGUUCCUUUCCUUCAUUGAGCCGAUGAUCAAUUAAAAACAGACUCUCUACUCUUUCGGAUAGGUGUAAGGUGUCUAUUAUUAGCCUCCCCAAACCUAACCUUGGCAUUAUAGGAACUGAGUUAUAAAAGCUACAGUAAAAGGUAUGGACUGGACCGCGUAAGGAAAGUUAAACAAACAGCACACGGAGGCAACCGGGCGGUAAACGUUAGCUAAGAAAGAGAAAAUUCGGUGGCGUGGCCGUGGGUAGGCUGGCGAUUAGCGAACCAAAACCCAACGCUAUCAAACAAACGAACAAACUCAGCCCUCCUUUUCUCUUUCUACAUUCCGCCAACCAACUAAUCUCCUUUUGUUUCGUCAAUCAUAAUCCAUGGCAGCAAUAGCAAGUCGAUUAGAUCUAGCCUUUUGAUUUUCCCAUAUUCAACCCUAAACAUUCGCUCAUUCAAUUUUCUUUGAUUCAGUAGUCAUGGCUUCCGUGAAAUCCUCUCGGUCAAGAGCACACGCGGUCACUCCGUCUAAAGGAAUCAACAAAGAAAGCGGCACCAAGCUCGAAGAAAAUCUCAACGUCUUCAAAUCCGAUAAUUUCGAUGCUGAUGCCUUUGUUCAGUCCAAAUGUCAUUCUCUCAACGAGAAGGUCCUAUUCAUCAAUUCCCUACUUUUUUUUCUUUGAUAAUAAUUGACUGUUGAAUUUGCUUAAGCAAACUUAUUCACGUGUGAUUCAUCUAAAAUGUUGAGUUUCAUUAUUUUAUUCGAUCGGAAGGGGGAAGGGGGUAGAAUUAAGCAUUUACCAUAGGCCAUAGGAUUAAAUUAAUAAAUAUCUCAUAUUUUUUUAUGUUGCACGCUCUUUAGCUGCAUCACUUAGAUACAUUUGUAUAUGAUGUAAAAUGAUGCAGUUAUUUAGCUCAAGCUUGAAGAUUUCUCAAAUUAAUCUACUCUUCAUACGUGUACUUCUUUUUUAUUUAACUUAACUACAUAUUGAUGUCUCUCUCAACGAGAAGGUCCAAUUCCUCAAUUCCCCUCUUCUUUUCUUUGAUAAUAAUUGACUUUUGAAUUUGCUUAAGUAAACUUAUUCACCUGUGAUUCAUCUAAAAAUGUUGAGUUUCAUUAUUUUAUUCGAUCGGAAUUUACCAUAAGCCAUAAGAUUAAAUUAAUAAAUAUCUCAUAUUUUAUUAAUUUGCACGUUCUUUAGCUGCAUCACUUAGAUACAUUUGUAUAUGAUGUAAAAUGAUCCAAUUAUGUAGCUCAAGCUCGAAAAUUUCUCAAAUUAAUUUACUCCUUACGUAUACUUAUUUUUUUUAUUUAACUUAGCUACAUAUUGAUGUUCUUUGCAAUAUCUUGAUUUGGAUAUCAGCUCGUUUUAAUUCGGAGAGUUCAUCUCAAUAUUCUUAGUUAUUUACAAUAAUGCUAAUGAUGAUUGCCAAUUUCAGCCUGUCUACUAAAUUACUGCAAUUGUUUACUAGACUUGUUGCACGAAAUGUGUCAUAUGGAAAUUUUUGUUGACAGUUGAGGAUUUCUCCUUUCCUUGAAGCUCCAUAAUUUGAUGCAAAAUGAGGCUUUUUCUGAGUCUCUAUAAGUUGUUUGAAGAGUUAAAGAGAGACAGAGACUAUAGAGGCAUUUUCGAUUUUCAUGUAUCUUUUUUCUUGUCUUAGACAUCAUUGCAUUUUGAGAGGAGGAGGGGAGGAAUUGUUUCAACAUACAGCUUUACAUGGGUAAAAUGUAAUCCCCCCAAUGCAUAAUUUGGUGGAGAACGAUGCUGAAUGAAGAGGUAUGGGAUGACUGACCCAUUAUCCUGUCAUUGGAGGCAAAAAAGUAGGCAAGGAUGAGUCAUCUCAAAACUAGAGUAACUGACAGGGGAAAAUGCAAAAUAGCACCAAACUUUGUUGCAGAUUUAAGGGCAAAGCAUAAUUAAAGAAUUGGCUUUAACGAAAAGCGCUAAUGAAGAAAAACUAACUAUGUAAUGCAACAAAAAUAAUUACAAACACAAACAACAAGUAUUUUGAUUAAAGACUGAAGUAACUAUAAUAAAGCAAAAUAUAUGAACUAAGAAUCAUACCAAUCAAGUUAAAAGCCAUUUUAAACAUCCAAUUUUGAUGAAAGGAAAUAGUUUUAUGUUUUCCAAAGCAAGUUUUUGUACUAAAUUUCAAAUUCUUAUUCCUACUCCCCAAGAUUUCAUUUUAAUUUUUUUUUAACAAUUAAUAUAACAGUUUAUCAACUAUAUUAUCUCAUACACAUAGCCCUUGUGUGAUGCAGAACACCCCUUAACGCCUUAGCUCCUGCACUAAAGUUCUACUUAAGCGAGGCGUAGCGCACAACGUUGCUUUAGCUGAGCUUUAAGGCUUAAGUGCGCCUCAAACGAGUUUUUAACGACACUGCUCAUAACCCCUUUCUUCCCUACAUAAUGGACUAUUUAAUUGUUUAAUACCAGAGGAGGUUGUAUUAAUAGCCAGGGGAUGAGAGUCUUACAAAACUAGAAUUUAGAAAGACUGAUUCAUUCUUUAAAAAAAAAAGAAUUUAAAAAGAAUGAUAACCCAUAAAUUUUAAUUACCAAAUUAUAGACCCUUUUAUUUAACCAAAUGUUUAUGUGCUUAAACAAACUAAGAAUAUUGUUAUAUGUUUUUUUUAUCAAAACUAAUUUUGUUCACAGAACAGCAGCACCAAGAGGGUACUGAUAGUAUGAAAAAUAUAACUAGCUUGUACUGAAAAUGAAGUAAGCUAGCCUAUAAUUACAAUGAAAAGGACUUUGUUUAUUACAAUGUAGAAAUAAGUCUGAUGGCAGCAACUUGGUCUUGCGGGACAGGGUCUGCGCGCGCCGUGCUGUUGGCGCGCGCGACACUUCUUGUGUGUGCCUGAGGUUGGGCGCUGGUGCUUGGCAUCAGGGUCUGUGCGCGAGGCGCUGCUGGUAUUGGCCUGCCUCUAGGCGCCGGCAAGGCAUCAGGAUCUGCGCACGCGGCAUUGUCAAUGCGCGCGGCAUUGUUGUCAAUGGCCAGCCAUUGGGCACUGGCGAGAGGUAUCGGCAGGGCGACAGAGGUGCAUACAAGCUUGUGACUUGGUGCAUAUCCCUUGUUUAGUACAAUUUUUCAACCUAUGUAUUACUAAUGCAAGUAUUAGUUAUACAAUCUAUUUAGUAUUAUCCUAUGCAUUAGCAUAGUUAAAGACAAAAUUGUCCUUAGAUUUCCUUAAAGCUAAAGAAUACGGAGGACACUUUGGUAAACAAGUAACCAGCUAAUAUUAUGCAAUGUAUUUUAAUUCUUAAUGCACCGCCCGCACCAAAUAGUGGAUAAGAAAUAAUAUUUGCAUAACUAAUGCUUGCAUACUAAUUGUUACGCAAUGCCUUCCUGAUGUUCUUUGAAAGGGCAACGUAAGGCUAAGCAACCGAUGUCAAGACGGUUGUUGUCCGCCAAUGAAAUCCCCUCCGCACGCUAGAUUAGAUUGUCAGUGCCGUGCGGGAAAACCAAUGUCACGAGCAAUUGCGGAAACUGAGAGUGAAUUGGGUUUUGAAUGCUGAUGAUGAUUUUAUUGAUGAAUGAAAUGCUGAUUACAAAAUAUGCGGUAUCAAGGGGGAGAUACACCAGUACAGAAAAUUGAUUGCUUGGUCCCCCUAAUAAUGCUUAAAAAAAAUAAACCAAAGUUACAUGACUUGCCUUAAUAAAGCUGUAGAAGCACACUGAAUAAAAAUGAAGUAAACUAGCCUAUAAUUACAAUGAAAAGGACUUAGUUUAUUACAAUGUAGAAACAAGUCCGAUGGCAGCAACUUGGUAUUUUAAUUUGAGAAGGACUUAAUUUAUUACAAUGUACCAAAGCUAUUAAUGCAUGCAUUAUGCAAUGUAUUUUAUUUUUUAAUGCACCGCCCGCACCAAACAGUGGAUAAGAAAUAAUCUCUGCAUAACUAAUGCUUGCAUACUAACCCCUGCAUUACUAAUACUACUUAUACAGCACUAUCUUAUACGCCCUGCCAAAUGACUCCUAAAGGUUAUUAUUGCCUCUGUUUUACAGAAUAGCUUGUUACUAUUGCUAUCAGUUUACAAAAGAGGUACAGAAAAUGCUCAAAUUCUACUUCUUUCUCGACCUGUUUCCCCUUGCUUCUACCUAUAACUAUUCUGUUUAGAGGAAGCAAUGCCACAUGUUACUAUACUCCUUGCUACUACAUAAUUUCCAUUAGCACCUUUUCAUUAGUGUCACUUUCUCUUGAAAGAUGCUCUGAAUUUUCAUCAUGUCACAAGACAUGAAUAGCUGUUGAGUCAGCUUCAUAUUUUAAAGUAGUAAUGAUGUUGCAGCUAGCUAUUGUACUCCUUUUUGGUAUCAUAAUUCUCUUUGGUGCCUCUUAAUGAGUACCGCACUUGUAUUGGUGUAUGCCCUGAAGUUUAUUCCUGCCAUAAAGACUUAUAAAUCGUCCGAGUCAACUUCAUAAUACAGUUUGAAACUUUUCAUCUUUUGUUUGACCAACCAUAACAUCUCCUGUGAGUUGGGACUACAGGUCGUUGCAAUGUUGACAAGUCGAAUAUGGCCAUAAAACUGGAAAUGGGUGAAUGAUAAGGAUGAUAACUAUUUCCAGCAGCUACUUUCUCUCCACCAGAUUUUGAUUGUUCUUUUUUAUUUUUAAAUAACCGUGGUGUCUGAGCCAGCUUGCGUGCUUUGAUUGUUCUGUUGCUUUCGCGGUCAUGGUAUGGAGGAAGGAAUGCUUUUGAGUGUUAAUAGGGAAAAACACUAAUUCUUAGAUUCUUUUAGAUUUGGGAGGGGAUUCAGCUCAUUUGACUAAGUUCAUCUAUGAUAUGAAAAUGGUUUUAACUGCAAAGUCAUAUUUGGGUGUCCAUAAUUUUAUCCUUGGUGUUUAAAUUCUUUUGUGCAAUGACUAUGGUGAGGUGUUGAUAGAAAUUUCCAUGUAUUUGCAGGAAAUAAGGCAGUUGUGCUCGUAUCUAUUGGAUCUGAAAAGGGCUUCUGCUGAGGAAAUGCGCAAAAGUGUGUAUGCCAACUAUACAGCUUUCAUUCGGUGAGUCCUUGAUGUAGCUGCUAUAGGACUCUCCUCCCAAACUGAAAUACCUAUGAAUCAAGAGGUGUCUCUCAUUGGGCAUGAUUUCAUUCGGUGAGUCCUUGAUGUAGCUGCUAUAGGACCCUCCUCCCAAACUGAAAUACCUGUGAAUCAAGAGGUGUCUCUCAUUGGGCAUGAAAUUCUGACCUGCUAGGCUGCUACUGACUUUUCAACUGUUUCAUAUUCUUUAUCUGUAGUCUGAGGCUACCUUGACUUCUGUGUUUAUCAAUGCUUACUUGCUUUGUACUUCUUUGUCUAUAUUACUUGCAGCACAUCAAAAGAGAUAUCAGAUUUGGAGGGUGAGCUUUCAUCCAUGAAAAACUUGCUAUCUACUCAGGCAACUUUAAUUCAUGGUUUAGCUGAGGGUGUUCAUAUUGAUUCUUUGUCUGAUGAUGCUCCUGAGUCUACCUCCAAUGGAUCUUCUAAUGACGAAGUCAGGGAGCCUACGGACCUAGAGAAGUGGCUAACAGAGUUUCCUGAUCUCCUAGAUGUUCUGUUAGCUGAAAGGAGAGUAGAUGAAGCAUUGUCGAGUCUUGAUGAAGGAGAGCGCAUUGCGUCUGAAGCAAAAGAGAAGAAAAUAUUGGGUCGUGCUGUGCUUUUUUCACUACAAACUGCCAUUGCUGAACGUAGGCAAAAGCUAGCUGACCAGCUCGCUGGAAUUGCUUGCCAACCUUCUACUCGUGGUGCCGAGCUUCGUGCUGCUAUUUCAUCUCUUAAAAAGCUUGGGGAUGGCCCCCGUGCUCAUAGUUUACUCCUUAAUGCUCAUUACCAGAAAUACCAGUUCAACAUGAAAAAUCUCCGUCCAUCUAGCACCUCUUAUGGAGGAGCUUAUACUGCCGCCCUUUCACAGCUGGUAUUUUCUGCCAUUGCUCAAGCAGCGACUGAUUCAUUGGCUAUUUUUGGUAAAGAGCCAGCGUAUACAUCCGAGCUAGUGAUGUGGGCUACUAAGCAGACAGAGGCAUUUGCACUUUUGGUCAAAAGGCAUGCUUUAACUUCAUCUGCAGCUGCUGGUGGCUUACGAGCUGCUGCGGAAUGUGUUCAAAUAGCUUUAGGACACUGUUCUUUAUUGGAAGCUCGUGGGCUUGCACUUUGCCCUGUGCUUCUGAAGCUUUUUAGACCUAGUGUUGAGCAAGCGCUAGAUGCCAACUUGAAACGAAUUGAAGAAAGCACUGCUGCUUUGGCAGCUGCUGAUGAUUGGGAACUCACGUAUCCACCAUCCGUUACACGCACGUCUGGUAGGCCAGCCGGUGCUGUUCUUGGCUCUACAGGGGCAUAUCAGCAUAAACUUUCUAGUAGUGCUCAUCGUUUCAAUUUGAUGGUUCAGGUAAUGCUAUUAAUGGAACUGAUGACCUGAUAAAGCUAAAUAUAGUAUUUCCACGUGAACACCUGCUAUUUGGUCAUCGACACAACAGCUUGCCUUAGGUGCUUUCCCUGCUAGCAGAAUUGCCCUUUAAUCCUCCACAGUGUGCUUAAGUAUGUCUUACUAAAAGUCUCAUUCGGCUUUUUGGAAGACAAUUUUUAUCUUCUACUCUAUUUAUCUGGUAAUUUGCAGUUUUUGAACGCACUUGUAUCCGUAGAAGCAGGAAAUCUGAUUUCCUUGGACGCACUAUCAUCCCUAGAAUAUAGAUCCAAAUUACUUAAACCUUGCUUAUGCCAAUCUGUAAUGUUGAUGGCCUGCAUUCCCUUUCUCAACUUUGUUACUGUUUCUUGGCUGUGGAUAUUCAACAUAGAUUAUUUGCAAUAUCUUACUCUUUCUCUUAUAUCAAAGGGUUACUUUUAUAGUGUUAUCUUGGUUUGUUACAAUAGAUUUAGUGUCAAUCUAGUAUCAAAUUUGUUUCUAUUCAUAGCAUGGCUGGUACUCAAUGUGCUUAGGAAAUCAUUUUGUGUAUGAUGUUGUCGCCAAUGGUCCUGAUGUCUUUUACUUUAUUCAUUUUGCUACUCCUGCUGCUUAUCUAGGAUUUCUUUGAGGACGUGGGACCAUUGCUAAGUAUGCAGUUGGGAGGGAAAGCUUUGGAAGGUCUAUUUCAGGUGUUUAAUUCUUAUGUGAACACACUUAUAAGAGCAUUACCUGGCUCCAUAGAAGACGAGACUAGCUUUGAAGGUUCAGGAAAUAAAAUUGUUCGCAUGGCCGAGACUGAAGCUCAGCAAAUUGCUUUGCUUGCAAACGCAUCUUUAUUGGCAGACGAACUAUUGCCACGUGCAGCUAUGAAGCUUGCUCCCUUGAAUCAGGCUAAUCACAAGAAUGAUCUUCAAAGAAGAGCUUCAGAGAGGCAAAGCCGUCACCCGGAGCAAAGGGAAUGGAAAAAACGUCUUGUGAAUUCAGUUGACCGGUUAAAGGAUAGCUUUUGUCAGCAGCAUGCUCUGGAUCUUAUUUUCACAGAGGAAGGGGACAGCCAUCUCUCUGCCGAAAUGUAUAUAAACAUGGAGGGGAAUGCUGACGAGAUAGAAUGGUUCCCUUCUCUAAUAUUCCAGGUGCAGUUUCCUCUUCCUGAGUUUUCUUAUGUAAUUACAUGCCACUUCGAAUAAUUAGGGUUGUUCAGCUACAUGGUCUGCUGAAAAACUGAUGUCCUUAUUGUGUGUUAAUUACUGCAGCUUGGAGUUUGCACCUGCUUCUUACCAAACACGAGCAUUUAUUAAUCAUUAACACUAAGAAAACAAUUUUAAGUGCUUAGAUCUUCAAUUUUUUGGAUACUUCAUUAUCAACACUAAGCAACCAGAAAAUGAGAUCUCAGCUCUUACACUGUUUUGCUUAGUGUUUUUUUUUUAAUUUAAAAGGAAAAAACACUAAGCAAACAGUGUAACAGCUGAGAUCUCUUUUUAUGUACUUAUCAUUAACAAUAUAGUAAUCUAAGUUGUAAUCGACUAAUCGUGAUAAGAGCACUCCCUUUUCCUAGUGCCUAUUCAUCUUUUUGUCUAUUAGAUUCCAACUUAAAUAUCCACAUCUCGAGGUUUUAGUGGGAGUUCCUGUCUAUACAUGAGCAACUGUUUAUGGUUGAUAAUCUGUGGUUAUUUGUGAUUCUGCCAGGAACUUUAUGUCAAACUAAACAGAAUGGCUGCCAUAGCUGCUGAUAUGUUUGUAGGAAGGGAAAGAUUUGCAAUAUUGUUGUUGAUGAGGCUUACAGAAACUGUAAUCUUGUGGCUUUCACAAGAUCAGAGCUUUUGGGAUGAUAUAGAGGAAGGACCAAGGCCAUUGGGUCAUCUUGGUCUUCAGCAGGUUUGUAAUUACUGGUAUCCACUUAUCUUGUUUUGCUCCCCACUGCCAAUACGUUUUGUAACACUUCAUGUUUACCAUUGAACUUUUUGUAGUUCUAUUUGGAUAUGAAAUUUGUCACAUGCUUUGCUUCGCAAGGACGCUACUUAUCUAGAAAUUUGCUUCGGGUCGUCAAUGAUAUAAUCUCUAAAGCAAUGUCAGCCUUUGCUUCAACUGGGAUGGAUCCAUAUAGGUAUAAUUCCCCUCACUUUGCGGAAUUUCAUCCUUUUGCCAUUUGUCUGAUUCUGAGUAUAUUUUGCGAUGCAUUAGGGAUCACUUCGUUUGGUACAUAAGAAGAAAUAAUCCCUAUGCUUUGUAGAUUAAUACUAUGUUUGAUUGACGGUAAAAAACUCUAUUUAGGGGGCAGCCGCUUCAACUUAUGUUAUGACUUACAGAGCAAAAUCCUAUAUAGUUUGUAUAUCCAAAUUAUAUAUUUAUGCCUUAACUUAACUGUGGAUAUUGCUGGCAGUGUUCUCCCUGACGAUGAUUGGUUCACUGAAAUUGCUCAAGAUGCGAUAGAGAGGCUGAGUGGAAAGCCCAAAGUUGCUAAUGGGGAAAGGGAUCUGAACAGUCCAACUGCCUCUGUCUCAGCUCAAUCUAUGUCUUCUGUCAGAUCUCACGGGAGUUAUUGAUGUAUAAUUAGUUCUACUGUUGUAAAAUAUGUGAUGAAUGAUUGAUCUUGGCUUGGUUAGCAAGUGUAUUGAUAGAAAGCUUCUCGUCUCCCUUUUUUUUUUCUUGACAAAUUUGUAGAUUGUGCUGGAUGGUAGUGAGUUUAGGAAAUUCUUUGUAGUGUUCAUCAGGCAAGCAUUUGGAAUUUGUAUAUGCUGAUUUUAUUAUUUGGUCAUGAAUCCAAAGGCUCUUUGUCUCUUUUAUAAGUCGUUUACAGUCCUAAAAGAAAUUGGUAAUAUGGAUGUUACCCGGCGGUCGAAGCUCCCAAAAUUGUCGAUCUGUAAAGUUCUCUUCGGUUUUCUGAGAUUCCUUUCCUAUCCAGCUUAAGCCUCGAUGCACAUACUCUUAUGGAGAAUGGGAAUUUUUGUUUUUUAGCAAUAUUGUUAAUCAGACAGCUUAUCCAUUCUUGAUGGGAUAUUUGAUGUUAGUAAUAAUAACAUCAGUUUUCGGAUUGGUAAUUGAAAAAUAAUAAGCAUUUUUUAAGUCAUUAAAAAAUAGCCACUAUUUUGCUGUAUCACUUCCAGCAUAAUAUAUUAAAAAUUGGUGCGAACUUAUGUAUGAACUUAUAACAUAUUAUGCUAGAACUCCAAUACAAAAAAAAGUUCCAACAUAAUAUAUACUGGAGAUUGAAGCACCUUUGUAUAUUUUCCAGCAUAUUAUGCUGGAAGUCCAGUAUAAUAUACAGGUAGUCCAAUAUAAUAUAUUGGAGUUCCGUUAUAUUAUACUGGAACUCCAAUAUAGUAUGAUGGAAUUUCAUAUCUUGAACAAUGUUUUUGUUCAGAUUUAUCUUUACACAAAAAAUGGUUAAAUUUCGAUUACUUUUAAAACAGUGUGCUAUUUUUCAAUUACCACUUAUAAAUCUUGUUAUUUUUUAAUUUAUUCCCUUCAUAUUAGCACCGCCACGAAAACUCAGAGGCACCAUAAGUCUUAAUUAGUUGCUUUUAUACCUUUAACCUACGACCAGUCAUGAGCAACAAUCAUUUUUAAGUCUGUUAUUUAAAUUAUAUCUAUAAUUUAUAAUGUAUUUAAAAAUUUGAUAAUUCACUUAACCUCCAAGACUAAGUAUCCUGAAUUUGAAAAUUCAGGAUUUAAUGUCCAAAAUUUUUGAGCUGCUAAUUUGAAAUUCAGGACUAAAUGUCAUGAAUUUCUAAAUUACUAAUUUAAAAGUCAGGAUAUAAGAUUCGAACUUCUGGAUACAAUUUUCGAAUUUUAGGACACGAUGUCUUGAAAUUUAAAGUUUGAACUUUGAGGUUUAAAGUCUAGGACGAUGUGUCCUAAAAUUUGAGUGAAUUAGCUAAUUUUUAAAUAUAUUAUAAACUGUAAAUACAUUUUAGACAACAUAUUUAAAAGUGGUUACAUGAUGUCAAUUUCACUUUUUUGAGUACCAAUCAGGAUCUAAUAUUGGGAUGAUACAUAAAUCCCUCUCAUUUUCAGUUGCACACUUGAGCAAAAGUACAAAGCAGCACGCUGAAUUAACUCUAGCAUUUGCAAACCUCUGAGAGUAAUUUUGAAAGUUAAGCUGAUAACUUUCUUACUAUCUAAGAUGAAUAUUUUACUCCUUAGUUAAAGGUUAGGACUUUUACCGAAUAACUCCCACCAUCACCCCUAAUUAACACCCUACAGUCUAAACAAUAAUUACUCAGUAUAGUCCCAUAAAGUGGGGUCUGUGGAGGGUAAUACAUACACAUACCUUACCCCUACCCAAAAUGGCAGAGAGCUUGUUUUCGAACGACUCUCGGCUCAAGAGAGGAAAAAAAACAAAACAAAAAUAAAAACAAAAGAAAAUUCAUUAUAAUGAAACUGAUGUUAGCGCCUCAUCGUAAUACAAAAACUGUUAUACUCUAGGGCCACAAACAACUACUUUUCUACAUAUAUUUUGAUAGACAUAUCGCACUCCUAAUUCUAUUGUUAGUGGGACCAUUGAACAAUGAACAGUGAAAAAUGAAGACGGAAAUAUGAAAAAAUUGAUACAGAGAAUACCAAUCACACAACGAAUUUCUUGUUAGUUAUGCACAAGACCUCUAGAAUUAUUUUCGGAGAAUUUUUUGUUAGUUCUUCAAUCAUUUCCAUCUUUAGUAGAAUAUUCUAGAAAAUUUGGGGACUUCCCAUCCUCAUUAGCUUCUGCUAAAGUCAGUAGGUAAGUUGGAGACAUAAAGCUUUCAAUGAUCACAAUGUAUCCUAACUUCUGGAUGCAUAAAGUCAUUAUUAUACCACAUUAAGCUCUCUGAUUCAGAUUCAUGAACAAAAACUUAAUUUUUCAGGAGAUUGAAAAUGGGCCAAGCAUAAUGCUCUUACCGCCUUCACCCAUGACUUUAGAAUCUCGUAAUUCUUCAUUAGCCACAAAUCAGUCUUUGUCCUCAUAGUAACAAAAUAGGCAUAAAUUCUCUCGAAGAAGAACAUGCUUCACAAUCAACAUCACUACCUAUGUUGGGCAACGCUAAAUCUCAAAGUGAUCCAUCCACAAGGUUAAAUGUAGAAAUAACUCAAAUUGAAUUCUUAUCACCAAUAGAAUUCUCAGCAAUCCAAUGGAUAUUUUCAUUCAAAAAAAUUCUAGAUUGAUGAAUGAUCAAAAAGUCUUGAAUUCUUCUCUGAGAAUUUAAGAGAUACAAAAUAAUCUUUUAUAAGAAUCCCAAAUUUGAUACCUUUUAAAUGGAUCUCCACAAGAAAAAUGAAGUUUAGUAUGUCUCAAUAGAACUGGCGUCCUAAAGCCAAAUUUGAAUAAGGUGACUAUUUGUUUUUUUGCCUAUGAUGCAGUUAUAUUACAUAAUAUCGUAUUAAUAUUUACAUUGAUUUUCUUUCUUUCUUUUUGUCUAUAGUGUAGUUAUCUUAUAAAAUAUAAUAUUAAUAUUUAUAUUAAAAGAGAUAUUAGUCACGUAUUUACAAUGUGCUACCUUGAAUCUUAUUGCAAAAAAUAUUAUUUACGAAUAUGAAGAUUUGGGUACCUUAAUUCAAAGUUGUAAAAUAUUUUUAUUAUUAUUAGAUAGAUAGUCUUUCUUCCUAUUUUUAUAAGUAUUUUGUACUUUUAUUCUUUUUUCUAUAAGUUUCAAUACUGUCUAAGCAAAAACAAGAAAGAAAUUUACAAUUAUAAACAUUUUUAGGGCUCCAAAAUUUAGGCCAAAAGCAAAGACUUUACUAGCCUCCGCUUGAGCUGCCUCCGGUAGAAAGUCCAACAUUUUAUUUGAAUUAGUAAUUAUUGUAUAUAAUAAUAACAUCAGUACAUAGGUUGCACUGAAAACCAAAUUUAUAUGAAAAGGAUAAAUAGUUUUUCUGGUUUGACUCCUAGCAAGAUCCUAGUAUGUCUAUGAUUGUCAAUGUAUCUUCUGUGUAAAUCUGAUUACACCAAAAUAAAAAAUAAAAAUACAAUUGAGUUUGGUCUUCAAUACUGGAUUGCUACUGUCUUCAGAACAUCUAGCAUUCCUUUCUCUCCAAAUUGUCCACCAGAUACAAACCGGGACAGUUCUCCAUCUAUUUCUACUAGUUGCUUCAGCUCCAGCUUCUUCCCAGCUAUAAAGAACAUCUUUAAGCAUGUAUGACAUUGACCAUGAAAUACCCCUAAUAUAGAUUGAAAGUUGUCGGAAAUCAGAAAUAGGUGGAUGGAUAUGGUCGGAAUAACCCCAUUAGAAGGCUGUCCAAAAGAAUUUUUUUUUUUUAAAAACCUGGAAGUAGGCCCACGCGCCAGCGCGUGGUACUUGGGUCGCCGAAAAAAGCCGCGCGUGGCGGCGCGUGAAAAGUUUGUUGGCGCAGUUAUUUGCAGUGGUCUGGUCGGAAUUUCAUGGGGGUGCUGGUGGUGUACAUGAAAAUGAAGAAACCAGAUUCUCAGGCUCCUCGGGGAGUGUGCCUGAGAGCUUCAGAAGUAGAGAGAGAACUCCAGCAUUUUUUUAUCAUCAUAGUUCUUGAAAAGAAGCUUACCAUCGGGAGAUUCUAAUUUUUUGGUUGAUAAUUAGAGAUGGCUUUUUACAAAUUGAGGACUCGGGACGAGGAAACACCAAUAUUCAAAAACACACUUCAUCCUCAUCAAUGCUUUUACAGGUAGGCGCAAGAGUAUUUCUGAUAUCAUAUCUUUGUGAAGAAUUAAAUCACCUGCCAUUGAUGUUUGUGCUCUGUGCUUCAACAUCGCGCUUUUCAAAUUUUGGUGUGUUUCAAGAAUUUGAUUCAAAUGGGAGAGUCGAGGUAUGAUUUGCAAGAACUAGUAUAUAAUUCAACUGGAAGUCAUGCUGAGAAAAUUAAAUUCAUAGUAGUUUGUUAUAUGGUAUACUCGAGAUACAUACGUAUUUAAUUAAUUUCUUAUUGUUCACCUUUUUAAGUUCAAACAAAAUUCAAUCAUAUUGACACGAUAAAUGAGUCACCACAGGAGGAUCAAUUUUAACAAAAGUUUUAUUUUGAUAAUAUUGAUAUUGUUUUAUAAAAUUGUGUAUUGUAUGAUUUGGCAUACACACACAAUGUACAUGCCGAAAGAUUAAUUAUUAUUAAAUAGAUAGUCUUUCUUUCUACUUUAUAAGGAUUUUAUACUUUUAUUCUUUUUUCUAUAAGUUUCAAUAAUGUCUAAGCAAAAAUAAGAAAGAAAAUUUAUAAUUAAAAAUAGUUUUGGGGCUACAAAAUUUAGGGAGCCUAAAGCAAAGAUUUUGCUAGCCUCCCUAUAGUAGAAAGGCCAGAACUUUUUAUCAUCAUGGUUCUUGAAAAGAAGUUUAUCAUUAGGAGAUUCUAGUUUCUUGGCUGAAAAUUUGAUACGACUUUUAACAAAUUGAAGCCUCUAGAUGAGGAACAUUAGGAUUCAAAAACACAUUUCAUCCUCAUCAAUGCUUUUACAGGUAAGCGCACGAGUAUUUCUGAUAUCAUAUCUCGGUGAAGAAUUGAAUCACCCCCGCCAUUGAUGUCCUCACUAUGUGCUUCGACAUUGUGCCAUAUAAAUUUUGGCGUGUUUCAAGAAUUUGAGUCAAAUGGGAGAGUUGAGGUGUGAUUUGCAAGAACUAGUACAUGAAUUCAACUGGGAGCCGCGUUGAGAAAAUUAAAUUCUUAUUAGUCUGAUAUAGAAUAUACCUGAGAUACAUACGUAUCUAAUUAAUUUUUUUAACAAAAGUUUUAUUUUGAUAAUAUUAAUAUUAUUUUAUAAAAUUAUGUAAUGUGUAACUUGGCAUACACAUGCAAAUUACGUGCUGAAAGAUUAGUUAUUAUUAAAUAAAUAGUCUUUCUGUCUACUUUUAUAAGGAUUUUGUAUUUUUAUUCUUUUUUCUAUAAGUUUAAAUAAUAUUUAAGCAAAAAUAAAAUAGAAAAUUGACUCCCUAAAAUUUAGGGAGCAAAGGCUCUAUAGCCUUCCCUGUCGUGGAAAGUCCAACACUUUUCAUCAUCAUGGUUCUUGAAAAGAAGCUAAUCAUCAGGAGAUUCCAGUUUUUUGGUAAAAAUUUUGAGAAGGCUUUUUACAAAUUGAGGACUUGAGAUGAUGGAACACCAAGAUUCAGAAACACACUUCAUCCUCAUCAAUGCUUUUAUAGGUAGGCACAAGAGUACUUCUUAUAUCAUAUCUUGGUGAAGAAUUGAAUCACAUUCGCCAUUGAUGUUCGUGCUUCUAAUUAUGCCUUUCAAAUUUUGGCGGGUUUCAAGAAUUUGAGUCAAAUAGAAAACUUGAGGUGUGAUUUGCAAGAACUAGUAUAUGAAUUCAAAUAGGAGUCGUGUUGAAAAAAUUAAAUUCUUAUUAGUCUGUUAUAGAGUAUACCCGAGAUACAUACGUAUCUAAUUUAUUUCUUAUUGUUCAUAUGUGUAAGUUCAAACAAAACCCAAUCAUAUUAAUAUUGACAAACAAUUCGCCACACGAUGAUCUGCAUUGGUCAUUCAAAGAAAUUUUAUAUAUUAUCUUUUUAUGUAUAAUUUUUUAACAAAAGUUUUAUUUUGAUAAUAUUGAUAUUAUUUUGUAAAAUUGUGUAUUGUGUGACUCAGUAUACACGUGCAAUGUAUGUGCCGAAAGAUUAGUUAUUAUUAAAUAGAUAGUCUUUCUCUAUACUUUUAUAAGGAUUUUGUACUUCUAUUCUUUUUUUCUAUAUGUUUCAAUAAUGUCUAAACAAAAAUAAGAAAAAAAAUUUAUUCCCCAAAAUUUAGAGAGCCUAAAACAAAGGCUCUAUUAACCUUCCCUAUGGUAGAAAGUCCAACCCUUUUCAUCAUUAUGGUUCUUAAAAAGAAGUUUAUCACCAGGAGAUUCUAAUUUUUUGGUUUAAAAUUUGAGACAGCUUUUUACAGUUGAGGACUCGAGAUUAGGCAACAUCAAGAUUCAGAAACACACUUCAUCCUCAUUGAUGCUUUUAUAGGUAGGCGCAAAAGUAUUUAUGAUAUCAUAUCUUGGUGAAGAAUUGAAUCACCUCCGCCAUUGAUGUUCGUGCUUUGUGCUUCAACAUUGUGCCUUCCAAAUUUUGGUAUGUUUCAAGAAUUUGAGUCAAAUGGAAAAUUUGAGGUGUGAUUUGCAAGCACUAGUAUAUGAAUUUAAAUGGGAGUCGUGUUUGAGAAAAUUAAAUACUUAUUAGUCUGUUAUAAAGUAUACUCAAGAUACAUACGUGUCUAAUUCAUUUCUUAUUGUUCAUCUAUGUAAGUUCAAACAAAAUCCAAUCAUAUUGAUAUUGACAAACGAUUCACCACACGAUGAUCCGCAUUGGUCAUUCAAAUAAAUUUUGUACAUUAUUCUUUUAUGUAUAAUUUUGUAACAAAAGUUUAAUUUGAUAAUAUUGAUAUUAUUUUAUAAAAUUGUGUGUUGUGUGACUCGGCAUACAUAUGCAACGUACGUGCCGAAAGACUAGUUAUUAUUAAAUAGAUAGUCUUUCUGCCUACUUUUAUAAGGAUUUUGUACUUUUAUUUUUUUCUAUAAGUUUCAAUAAUGUUUAAGUACAAAUAAGAAAGAAAUUUUACUCCCCAAAAUUUAGGGAGCCUAAGCAAAGGCUCUAUUAGCCUUUCCUGUUGUAGAAAGUCCAACCUUUUUCAUCAUCACAGUUCUUGAAAAGAAGCUUAUUAUCAUAAGAUUUUAGUUUCUUAUUUGAAAAUUUUAGAAGGAUUUUUACAAAUUGAGGACUCGAGAUGAGGGAACACCAAGAUUCAGAAACACACUUCAUCCUCAUCAAUGCUUUUACAAGUAGGGGCAAGAGUAUUUCUGAUAUUAUGUCUUGGUGAAGAAUUGAAUCACCUCUGCCAUUAAUGUCCGUGCUUUGUACUUAUACAUUGUGCCUUCUAAAUGUUGGCGUGUUUCAAGAAUUUGAGUCAAAUGGGAAACUUGAUGUGUGAUUUGCAAGAACCAGUAUAUGAAUUCAAAUGGGAGCCGCUUUGAAAAAAUUAAAUUCUUAUUAGUCUAUUAUAGAAUAUACUCGAGAUACAUUAAAGGUGGCUAAUGGGUCAACCGGUCCGGGCCGGGUCGAAUUUUUUCCGACCCGUCCGGGUUCCGGUCCGGGCUGGGCCGGGUCGAACAGUAAUGGGUUGCUAAGGGGCCGGGCUGGUUCGGGUUACAAUUGAAUCAUACGGGUUACGGGUUGAAAGGGGCCGGGCCGGGCCGGGUUUAGUAUAUUUUUAAUUCUUUUUUAGAUUAAGUAUAACUAUUAAGUUAUAAUUAUGUUAAUACUUUGUAAUCAUUGAAUGAAAUCAUAANNNNNNNNNNNNNNNNNNNNNNNNNNNNNNNNNNNNNNNNNNNNNNNNNNNNNNNNNNNNNNNNNNNNNNNNNNNNNNNNNNNNNNNNNNNNNNNNNNNNNNNNNNNNNNNNNNNNNNNNNNNNNNNNNNNNNNNNNNNNNNNNNNNNNNNNNNNNNNNNNNNNNNNNNNNNNNNNNNNNNNNNNNNNNNNNNNNNNNNNNNNNNNNNNNNNNNNNNNNNNNNNNNNNNNNNNNNNNNNNNNNNNNNNNNNNNNNNNNNNNNNNNNNNNNNNNNNNNNNNNNNNNNNNNNNNNNNNNNNNNNNNNNNNNNNNNNNNNNNNNNNNNNNNNNNNNNNNNNNNNNNNNNNNNNNNNNNNNNNNNNNNNNNNNNNNNNNNNNNNNNNNNNNNNNNNNNNNNNNNNNNNNNNNNNNNNNNNNNNNNNNNNNNNNNNNNNNNNNNNNNNNNNNNNNNNNNNNNNNNNNNNNNNNNNNNNNNNNNNNNNNNNNNNNNNNNNNNNNNNNNNNNNNNNNNNNNNNNNNNNNNNNNNNNNNNNNNNNNNNNNNNNNNNNNNNNNNNNNNNNNNNNNNNNNNNNNNNNNNNNNNNNNNNNNNNNNNNNNNNNNNNNNNNNNNNNNNNNNNNNNNNNNNNNNNNNNNNNNNNNNNNNNNNNNNNNNNNNNNNNNNNNNNNNNNNNNNNNNNNNNNNNNNNNNNNNNNNNNNNNNNNNNNNNNNNNNNNNNNNNNNNNNNNNNNNNNNNNNNNNNNNNNNNNNNNNNNNNNNNNNNNNNNNNNNNNNNNNNNNNNNNNNNNNNNNNNNNNNNNNNNNNNNNNNNNNNNNNNNNNNNNNNNNNNNNNNNNNNNNNNNNNNNNNNNNNNNNNNNNNNNNNNNNNNNNNNNNNNNNNNNNNNNNNNNNNNNNNNNNNNNNNNNNNNNNNNNNNNNNNNNNNNNNNNNNNNNNNNNNNNNNNNNNNNNNNNNNNNNNNNNNNNNNNNNNNNNNNNNNNNNNNNNNNNNNNNNNNNNNNNNNNNNNNNNNNNNNNNNNNNNNNNNNNNNNNNNNNNNNNNNNNNNNNNNNNNNNNNNNNNNNNNNNNNNNNNNNNNNNNNNNNNNNNNNNNNNNNNNNNNNNNNNNNNNNNNNNNNNNNNNNNNNNNNNNNNNNNNNNNNNNNNNNNNNNNNNNNNNNNNNNNNNNNNNNNNNNNNNNNNNNNNNNNNNNNNNNNNNNNNNNNNNNNNNNNNNNNNNNNNNNNNNNNNNNNNNNNNNNNNNNNNNNNNNNNNNNAGUAAACUGGAGGAAUUGGAAAGAAAUAUUUUUUGAAUUUCGCUUGCAUACUUACAAUAACAUCCAUAUAUUUUUCUUUCUUCUUAAAUUCAAAUAGUAGCAAAGAAAUUUCAGCUAUAUGUACUAGUCCUUCAAAGAACUUAUAUAUAUAUUAUUCUUUUAUGUAUAAUUUUUUAACGUAAGUUUUAUUUUGAUAAUAUUGAUAUUAUUUUGUAAAAUUGUGUAUUGCAUUACACGGCAUAUACAUGCAACGUGUAUUAUUAUAGAAUUUGAAAAUCUCUGAGAGAGUAAUUUUGUGUUAGGCGUUUGUCUAGAAUUUAUUACCAUAGUUGGUUCUCCUAUCUCAGGAAGGAAAUGACAACAUAUUUACAAUAAUUGGAUUUUUCUUUUCUAGAAGAAAAAUAUAAUUCUUCUAUAUUUGGCUUGUGCCUUUUCUUGUCGGAAAAGGUUUGGAGUUCUAAAAAUUGAAGAUCCGUCCUUCUCAUUCGUGUUUAGGGGGAAGAACUUCACGGGACAAGUGUUGGUGUGUCACUUGUGUUUGCUUCUUCGUGAGGUUGUUCUCUCGAUAUUUUGUACUCUCUUUUAUAUAGUGGAUUGCUCAACUCCGCCGUGGAAGUAGGUCAGUUGAUCGAACCACGUUAUAUGUUUGCGUCUCUUCUGAUAUAUUUCUCUUUUGUUGUUUGUUUUAUCAUCGUGCAAAGUUUGCUUUGCUAGCUUCCGCAUGACACUUGAUCCUAACACUUUGAAAGCAAAGUCAAGGAAAUCAUAAAUGGCUAGAAACAUGAAUCGAUGCAUUUCACAAAUCAGAAAAUAAAAUCUGGUUUCUCUGCUAUCAUGCUAGUAUAGUUUUAUUUCUACGCGACAAAGCUCAAUGAGUUGGAUUUGAGAGAGACGUGCCUAGAGUUGGCUGAAAUAGGUGGCUUGUUUUGCAUGUCAAAUUAGUAGACUUUUAUCAUUUAAUAACCCCUAUAAAAUCAUCCAGAAUCCAUAUAUACGAGAAAGUAGGGUCAUAUUGGUGGUUGUAAGGGAGGAUUUUUCAGCACAUGCUCCAUCGUUAGUUUUACUCCUUAGUUAUAUCGAAAUUAAACCCCAGUGCAGUAACAUUGUGAUUUUAUACUUGUUACUAAUAAUAUUAGUAGGUGCAUCUAUGAUGUUGAGAUGAACGUGUAUGUGUUACCUUAUAAAUUUAGUUCAAGUAGUUAGUUAUUUAUCUUUUAAUUUGUGGCUUUUUUCUUGGGNNNNNNNNNNNNNNNNNNNNNNNNNNNNNNNNNNNNNNNNNNNNNNNNNNNNNNNNNNNNNNNNNNNNNNNNNNNNGGGGACUUUGAAGCCUAAUUUCCUAGUCAUUUCCUUCGUUGUUUGCAUUACUCAAGUCCAGAUUUCUACUCAAUUCGUCAGUUUCAGUUCUGUAUUUCACUGUCAAUGAUCUCUAAUCCAGAAAUUCUCAAAAUUAUAAAACCAAGUCAAGGAUUCAAGAAUUGAAAUAAUGCAUAAAGAUAACAAAAUACUGGUCCAAGUCUGAAUCUUCUCCGUAUUUCUAGACUAGAAAAUCUACACCCUCUUCGUCAGUUGUAUACUAGCCUGUUAAGAGUUCAAAAUAUCCUAUUUUAUCUUAGUCUCUAAAAUAUUUCUUUUCCUAUGAUUUAAUUUUACAGAAGUAUAAUAAUUAUAUUUGGUCAGGUGCAAUGUCACUUAGGAUAAGGCCUUACCUUCCCAAUUUGAAGCAACUGCAUUAUAGUAAUACAUUUUAAAAAGGAAACAAUCAACUGUAUGGUAUCUUCAUAUUAGAAUACUGAAAGCAAGCUUGGACUUUUACCAAGUCAACUAACACAACCCACCCCCUAAAUAACGAAGACAGAAGAUUGAUAUAUUGUGAUAUUAUAUGGAGUGGAUUGAAACGUCUCGACCUACCAAUUCAGGUAUUGUAAGGAGAUGAAACUGAUCCUACUAUUCUGUGCCUCACUCUGGUUGUGUUUCACUUUCAGCAAUUCACAAAGGAGUGUCCAUAAUCACACUUCUAACUUCCAAGUGGGAGUGAUUCUUGAUUUGAAGUCAGUGGUCGGAAGCAUGGGUCUGAGCUGCAUGUCCGUCGCCCUCUCUGAUUUCUAUUCAAUUCACAGCAACUACUCGACGAGGCUGUCUCUUCAUGUUAGGGACUCUCAAGAACAAGCCAUUGAAGCUGCUGCUGCUGGUAAACACUAUUGCAUAUUAAGCACCUACGCCGGAUUGCUAACUGACAUGGGAAAGAGAAGCUCUUGCCAAUUUAAAGAGAACUUACCAACAUUGUUUGCCUUGUUGCAGGUCUCAAUUUGCUGAAAGAUGUCAAGGUAGAUGCAAUCUUAGGUCCUCAGAAAUCAGCUCAAGCCAAUUUUCUGAUGGAUCUAGGAGACAGAGCUCAGAUCCCCAUAAUUUCUUUUUCUGCAACAAGUCCUUCUCUUCAUACUCGAACUCCUUACUUUGUUCAAGCUGCACAAGGCGAUGACACUCAAGUUGGCGCCAUUGCUGCCAUAGUUAAAACCUUCCAGUGGAGUCAGGUUGUUAUGAUAUUUGAAGACUCAGAAUAUGGCAGCGGCAUUGUUCCCUACUUAUCUAAUGCAUUCCAAGAUGUUAAUGCUCACAUUUCUUAUAGAAGUAGUUUUCCUGUUUCGGCAAGUGAUGAAUUCAUACUCAAAGAGCUAUACAAGAUGAUGACUUUACAAACAAGGGUCUUUGUUGUCCACAUGUCACAUACACUUGGCGCCAAACUCUUUUUGAAAGCCAAAGAAAUUGGAAUGAUGGAGAAGGGCUAUGCCUGGAUCAUCACCAGUGGACUAAUGGAUUUAGCCUACUUGAUGGAUUCUGAUGUUGCUGAAGCAAUGCAAGGGGUAUUAGGCGUGAAACCUCUUAUACCAAAAUCUGAAAAGCUCAGCUCUUUCUCUAAUAGGUUGAAGAAAAAGUCCCUUGAGAAAAGUCUUGGCAUCGGACGAGCAGAUUUGAGCUUUUUUGGCCUGUGGGCAUAUGAUACUUUGUGGGCACUGGCUAUGGCAGCAGAAAGAGUUGGACUGAAAGAGCCACCGAAAACUUUAGAUAAUUCAACUGUUAAUCUCAAUGUUUCAGACCUUUUAAAUUUUGGGAACUCAGAAGUCGGUCCAAAACUUCUAAAAGCACCACCCAAAACUUUAGAAAAUUCAACUGUUAAUCUCAAUGUUUCAGACCUUUUCAAUUUUGGGAAAUCAGAAGUCGGCCCAAAACUUCUAAAAGCAAUAUCAGAGACCAAAUUUGAAGGGCUUUCAGGGAAGUUCCGCCUUAUAGAUGGCAAGAUGGAGUCGUCAUCCUAUCAGAUAAUUAAUAUGGUCGGGAAUGGACAGAAGGAGGUAGGAAUAUGGAACCCGUCUCUUGGAAUAAGGAGAGAACUGAACGUGAACGCCACAACUCAUGAUACAAGUUCAAGGGAAAAUAUGAGGAGUAUCAUAUGGCCUGGUGAUUCAACAGUCGUACCCAAGGGAUGGGAAGUUCCAAUGUCUGGUAAAAAGCUAAGAAUUGGAGUGCCAGUGAAAGCUGGUUUCACAGAUUUUGUGAGAGUAUUAAAGGACACUGAGGUCAAUGCCCCCACUAUCAGUGGAUUCUACAUAGAAGUGUUCAAAUCUGUCAUGGAAGCGUUGCCAUAUUCUGUGCCAUAUGAGCUUGUUCCCUUCGAAAAUCCUGAUGGCUCCAGUGCAGGGACUUAUAAUGAUCUUAUUUACCAGGUGUUUCUUCAGGUAAGCGAGGCAUACUAUAUUUUCCAUCCUCUCCUGAAAAAACAGUUAGUAAACAAUUACUAAAUUCAGUUAGCAAUGAUAAAAUGUAUGCAGAACUAUGAUGCUGCAAUUGGAGAUAUAACUAUCACAGCAAACAGAUCAAAAUACGUGGACUUCACGUUGCCAUUUGCAGAAGGAGGAGUUAUUAGCAUCGUGCCAAUCACGUACGAAGAUGCCAAUGAUAUAUGGGCUUUCCUAAAGCCCCUAAAGAAAGAACUUUGGCUAACAAGUAUAGCAUUUUUCUUUCUUACGGGUCUGGCGGUCUGGAUACUUGAACAUAGGGUGAGCUCUGCCUUUCGAGGUCCUCCUUCUCAACAUGUUGGCAUGAUCUUCUACUUUCCCUUCUCAACGCUAGUAUUUGCACAUCGUGAGUACUAAAUAAAUCUGUCAGAUUUUAUUUUAAACAUUUUCCUAUGACAGGGUACAGAACAACUCGUGAAUCGUGAGUACUAAAUAAAUGUCUCAGAUUUUAUUUUAAACAUUUUCCUAAGACAGGGUACAGGACAACUCGUGAACUCACAAAUAUGUAUGAUCUGCUUGUAGGAGAAAGAAUAGUGAACAAUUUAGCUCGACUGGUUGUAGUGGUAUGGAUGUUUGUCAUACUCAUCCUGAACUCCACUUACACUGCAAGCUUAUCAUCAAGAUUAACCGUACAAAGACUACAACCAGCAAUCACAGAUGUUAGUGAGCUAAUCAAGAAUAGAGAUUUUGUUGGGUGCCAAGAAGGCUCAUUCAUAGUGGACUUCUUGAUAAAAAAGGGAUUUGACAAAUCCAGGAUCAGGACAUUCACUUCCCCAUAUGACUGUGAUGAAGCCUUGUCUAGAGGAAGCAAAAGUGGUGGCAUAUCAGCAUUCUACGAUGUCAUUCCCUACUCCAAGCUCUUCCUAUCCAAACAUUGCGACAAAUACAUGACAGUUGGGCCUACCUAUCGCACAGAUGGCUUUGCCUUUGUAAGACAUUUCAUCUCCAUCCACGCUGUUCUUGUUUGUGAAGGUUAUUUUGUGCUGCAAAUUACUAUCUCAUGCUACUGCAUUUAAAUUCAAACAGGUUUUCCCUAAAGGAUCUCCUUUAGUUGGUUAUUUUGUGCUGCAAAUGACUAUCUCAUGCUACUGCAUUUAAAUUCAAACAGGUUUUCCCUAAAGGAUCUCCUUUAGUUGCUGAUGUGUCUCGAGCAGUCAUAGAAUUAACAGAGAAUGGGAAGAUAUUGGAAAUGGAGCAACAUUGGUUGAGUAAUGAACAAACCUGCGAAGGACCAGAUGACAAUAUGAACUCAAUCACGAUCUCGUUGCAAAGCUUCAAAGGCCUUUUUGCCAUUACAGGAGGGGUUACAGCAGUAAGCCUCCUCAUUUUUAUAGCCAGCUACUUCUACAAGUACAGAGAUUUCCACAGAAGAGUAUCAAAUUCUAGAAUCACAGUUUGGUCAAAAGUUGUAGAAAUUUGCAGACACUUUGAUCAGAGAGACCUCUCAUCUGGACAACCCCAAGAUAAACUUCCAGAAUCUGAAAUUAGUCCAAAUACUUCUGCAGAAAAUUCUGUUCAACCACCAAUUUUACCAAGAAAUCAUUCUAACUCCAAUGAAAUAGUGUCCUCUGCACCAGAAGAGCUGCAUGAUGCCACUACUACGACAAUUCAUUGUUCGAAUUUGGAAGACAUGUCUGCUGUACAACACUCGGGAGUAAUUCUUCCAUCUGAUAACUGAGUUGACUGUAAAGUUGCACUGUACAUACUACCAACUAAUUGUGCAAUUCUUUGAUUUCUUACUUGUUUACAUUUUACUUUCCUCAUCUUUUUUGACAUCUUGUAAGUUCUGAUUAUAAGGGAUAGAUGCAUCAGAUAAGAAUCAAACCAACUAAAAUAGCUGCAUUUCCCCAUACGAUUCAAAUUAUUAGCUUAAAUUCUUCGAAUUUACAUAAUUUUCAAUCUCCAUAUUUAAUUUUGGAUAUUUGGAUUUGGGUUGUGCACCCCCCCCCCCCCUUUUUUUUUUNNNNNNNNNNNNNNNNNNNNNNNNNNNNNNNNNNNNNNNNNNNNUUUGUGCCCCCCCCCCCCCCCUUUUCUUUUUUAACCCUAUUGUAAAGACUUCAUUCCUCAAGGUAACACAUCAACAACAACUACCCAGUAUAGUCCCACAAAGUGGGGUCUGGGAAAAACUUGCACCAGCCGGGAAACACAUAAAAGUUAACGUCGAUAAAUUCCUGCUGAAGUCAAAUAUCAUGCACAAAAAUGCACCACUUGGGAGAUACACGUUAACGUCGAUAAACUCCUGUUGAGUACUGCAUCUUGCGCAGGCGACCCUACACGGUAGGAUUGCAAACUCCAUGUUGAAUAAUGAACUUGGAAAAUACUAGGUAGUUGGUAGUCUUAACUAGUUCCAAUUAGCCCUUUGACAUUUUCACCUUGUUGUAUAUGUUUUCCAACUUUGACAACAAGAACCUUGGAUGACUAUGAAAUCCAGGCUCAAUACGUUAGUUUUUCCCACUUCUAACUGAAAGAUUGGUUCACAAUUCUAUGGUAAGCCGAUUUGCCCAGAAAAGAGAAGCGGUCAUAUAUAAAAGCCUAUGGGUAAAGGCAAGGAAAUUCUGUAAAUAGGGAUGUCUUUAACAUAGUUGAUCGCUAAGAAUUGCAAAAGGAAUUGCUUUUUGCCUGAGAGAUUAGCUAAGAUGAACAGUCACAGCAGUAAGUUAUCCUUAGAUUUCAUCCAUAUCAACAUGAUGAAAAAGACAUUUACAGCUACAAGGCAAACGCCUUCUCUUCCCAAGCUGCAAUAGUGUAAAUAGAUUUCUACCAUCCUCUACCAAUAAAAAGAGACUGAACCUAACAAGGAUUCAGAAACCAAAUACAAAAUUAGGACUAAGUCUAUUGUACCUAGAACACAUCAGAGUUUACAUGGAAUGUCCUCUGAUUGAUAGCUAGUACUUGCUUCUUAUACUCGAACUGGAUCUUGUUAAUUGCUUGACCACCUCUCUCUUUGUGGGUCUUUUUCUAACUUUCUCUGUGCAUCGAAGAGCCAGUGAAAGCACUUCAAUUACUUGUUCCAUGAUAUUUGAGUCUAUGAAUUCAUCCAAAAUGCUUGGAUCCACAAUCUUCUCAAUUUCUUCAGCUUCUGCCCAAACAGAUCUAACCCAACUCACAAUAUCUGUACCCCCAUAAACUGAAGGAUCCAAGGCCUUCUUUCAAGUUAUAAGUUCCAACAGAACAACACCAUAACUAUAAACAUCUGAAUCCUUGCUCUUUGCAGCUGCAAAUGCAGUCUCCGACAAAACAGACAAGACAUAGAUAUAUUAUUUUCUACAGACAACGAGGUAUCUAAAGAGAGGACAAACUGAAAGGCUGUGUGAGAAAAAAUGAAAAUUAGGAAAAUACCUGGAGCCAUGUAUCCAACUGUACCCUGGAGGGUAUUGGAGGGGGAAAUUGUAGCAGAUUGAUCCAGAAGCUUCGCAAUGCCAAAAUCUGAUAUGUGAGGCUCAAGAUCAGAGUCCAACAAGAUAUUCAUGGGAUCUCGAUGUACGAUGGCAGGAUCACAGUCAAAGUGGAGAUAUGACAACCCUUGAGCAGUUCCAAGAGCAAUACGGUACCGAACACUCCAUUCUAAUGUUACAUGUGGAUUAGUCUCAUGAAGAAUAUCAUGAAGGCUCCCGUUCUCCGUGUAAUUGUAAAGAAUCAGUCCAUAAUCCUUUCUCAGCCAGAAAUCCUCUAAUUUGACAAGAUUACGGUGCCUAACCUUUCCAAUUGUCUGAAUUUCUCUAACCAUACUUGUGCUUCCAUCCUUUAUACCAACAAACACCAGCUUUUUCACAGCAUAUGCUUUCCCUGGACCCAAGAUGGCCUUAUAUACAAUUCCAUGUGCUCCCCUCCCAAUGACAUACUUAUCAUUUAGGUUCUGUGUAGCUUCCAAUACUUUGUUAAGCAGGGACUAAGCACCUUCUUGGGCAGAUAUUGCAACUUCUUCCCCAGAGUUUUUGCGCCACAGAAGCAUGUAAGCAAUUACUAGGAAUAAGGAAAUGGUAACCAACAGUACCCCAACUGCAAUCAGUGCCGUUUCUGCUCCACUUAGGUGUCUUCCAUUGUUUGAUUGAAGAUUACAAGGCCUUAGAGUGCUAUUCUCAGGGCAAUUUGAGCCUUCUUCUGGAUCACAGUGCACGCAAAGUCCCAAGUUCCCCGAGAAUGAGGUAGGAGUUGAGUUUAGGAACUUAAUCAGAUUUGCCGGCACUGGACCAGAAAAGAGGUUGUGUGAUACAUUGACGAAGAUCAACGAACGCAUUUCAUCAAGAACUCUUAGAGUUCCAGAAAGAUUAUUGCCAGCUAUAUCUAACUCCUCCAGGAAAGUAAAUUUCCCUAGUUCAGCAGGAAGUACACCUGUCAACCUGUUACUACUCAAAUUUAACCACCUCAGUGUUUCUCUUGAUGCAGUCGUAAUUGCUGCAGGAAUGCCCCCACCGAGUGCAUUUCCACCAAGCUGCAGCAUGGAGAGCUUCUUGAGUUCAAACAAGGACGUUGGAAUAUCUCCUGAAAGAUCAUUCUCAUUCAGACCCAAAAUGGAUAGUUCUGUAAAGCUUCCAAACGUGGACGGGAUCGAGCCGCUCAACAAAUUAUGACUUAUGUCAAGCUUCAUCAGUCUCUGGCAGUUUGAAGUUGAGUUGGCAGUAAACCGUCUAAACUAUUAUAAGACAGAUCCAAACUCUGGAGGUUAACAAGGUUUGCCAGCUCUGGCGGUAUAAACCCUGAGAGCUUAUUCAUUGAUAAGUCAAUUGAUGUAACAUUACCAAGAUUUGCCAAACUUGGGGGUAUUUUCCCACUGAAGCCAUUCACACUGAGAUCCAAGAAAAUAGGAUUUGUGUUCUUAACAAAAUCUGGAAUGGCACCUGAGAGUAGCAUUCCCCGAUCUGAGAAGUUAGUUAUUGGAGGGGACUUUAAUGGUCAUAUUGGGGCUGAUGCUGAUGGUUAUGGUGAGGUGCACGGUGGCUUCGGCUUUGGGGUUAGGAACGGCGGAGACACGUCACUGCUUGAUUUCGCCAGGGCUUCCGAGCUUCUGAUUGCGAACUCGACAUUUCAGAAGAGGGGGAACAUUUGGUCACCUUCAAGAGUUUGGCGGCAAAGACCCAGAUUGAUUACCUCCUCCUCAGAAGGAACGAUAGGGGUAUGUGAAAUGACUGCAAGGUUAUUCCGGGAGAGUCCCGUUCGACUCUUCAUAGACUCCUAGUGAUAGAUGUCGGUCUCUGGGUGAAGAGGAAGAGGAGGGGNNNNNNNNNNNNNNNNNNNNNNNNNNNNNNNNNNNNNNNNNNNNNNNNNNNNNNNNNNNNNNNNNNNNNNNNNNNNNNNNNNNNNNNNNNNNNNNNNNNNNNNNNNNNNNNNNNNNNNNNNNNNNNNNNNNNNNNNNNNNNNNNNNNNNNNNNNNNNNNNNNNNNNNNNNNNNNNNNNNNNNNNNNNNNNNNNNNNNNNNNNNNNNNNNNNNNNNNNNNNNNNNNNNNNNNNNNNNNNNNNNNNNNNNNNNNNNNNNNNNNNNNNNNNNNNNNNNNNNNNNNNNNNNNNNNNNNNNNNNNNNNNNNNNNNNNNNNNNNNNNNNNNNNNNNNNNNNNNNNNNNNNNNNNNNNNNNNNNNNNNNNNNNNNNNNNNNNNNNNNCUGAUGGGGGAGUCUCAAGUCAAGCAGAGGUGGCAGGCGUACUUUCGAGACUUACUUAACAAGGAGGGGGAUCGUAACAUAGAGCUAGGGGAGUUGGAGCAUUCAUAGCAACACAGAGACCUUGGGUAUUGCAGGCGCAUUAGGGCGGAGGAGGUCACGGGGGCUUUUCGUAGGAUGAGUAGGGGUCGAGCGACCGGGCCUGACGAGAACCCGGUGGAGUUAUGAAAAUGCAUGGGUAGGUCAGGAGUGGAGUGGCUCUCCAGGUUGUUUAAUGCGAUCUUCAGGACCAAAAGGAUGCCGGAGGAGUGGAGGUGGANNN